UGUAAGCGUAUACCAAAGUUGUUGCAGUUAAAACGCUCGUAGUCGGAAUUUGGCAGUUCCGGAUGUGUGCACGUCGUGUGCGCACUUCGCGGGGAUUGCUUUUGUGGUCUUGCGUAGGAUGAGGUACUUUUAUUAGUGAACGUCCUCACGCAACCACUUUUUACUGUGAGGAAAUCAGAGUGCUCAAAGCAGGCAUUUGCCGUGAAUGUAUUAGCAUGGAAUAAUAGAAUAGGACUUGGUUCUAUUUUGUUGGUUUGUUGGGACUGAGUAAUGAUUAAGAGGGACAGUUGGGGGCAUUUGUAUUUCGGUGCUAGAGGUGAAAUUCUUAGAUUACCGAAAGACAAACUGCUGCGAAAGCGUCUGCCAAAGAUGUUUUCAUUGA
rnacentral:rRNA from 1 species